CUCUUAGCAGGGGAUAACAUUUGGAAACAGAUGCUAAUACCGUAUAACAAUAGCAACCGCAUGGUUGCUACUUAAAAGAUGGUUCUGCUAUCACUAAGAGAUGGUCCCGCGGUGCAUUAGUUAGUUGGUGAGGUAAUGGCUCACCAAGACGAUGAUGCAUAGCCAAGUUGAGAGACUGAUCGGCCACAAUGGGACUGAGACACGGCCCAUACUCCUACGGGAGGCAGCAGUAGGGAAUCUUCCACAAUGGGCGAAAGCCUGAUGGAGCAACGCCGCGUGUGUGAUGAAGGGUUUCGGCUCGUAAAACACUGUUGUAAGAGAAGAAUGACAUUGAGAGUAACUGUUCAAUGUGUGACGGUAUCUUACCAGAAAGGAACGGCUAAAUACGUGCCAGCAGCCGCGGUAAUACGUAUGUUCCAGCGUUUCCGGAUUUAUUGGG
rnacentral:rRNA from 1 species